AUGAUCCUGGACCGUGGGACACAGCUGCAACUCCAACUCGAUAUUGAAGUCCUUCCUGCUGAGUGCAAUCACCAGCCCUUUUUGUUUUGUUUUUUGACAAAAGAGUCUACCUUCUAUCGUUUUAUGUUGGCUUUGAAUAUGCAAAAGAUUCAUAUUUCUACCACUUUCAGUUUAUCAACAUCGAUGCGUCGGGCCCAUCACCAGCCCCAAACUUGUAGCAUAUUUAUCAAGUACAGUAACCUGUUCUCCUCACUUGGCUUUUUGGUAUGUUUUGAUUCUCUUACUACUGUAGCUUGUCUGGAUGGUUACAUAUCGUUUGACAAACACAUUUAA
rnacentral:rRNA from 1 species